GCCUGGGGAGCAGCCUGAGCCAACAGAAAGGAGAGCCCCUCAACAGGACGUCAGAAUCCGCUGCCAGGCACACUGACUCAGAAAACCGCGCCACAGCGUUAUCUAUGCUCUGCUUUAUUUUUAUUUCUUUUGUUCAGCGUUUCCCAAGGACAUUUUAAUCUGGUUCUGGUUGUGCAUCUGACCCCUCUGGCCUGCAGCAAGGGAAGGGGAAGUAAGCUGCCCAGGGUGGCAGAGCCGGUAUCUGGCAGGCAGGUUCUCUACACCGUGAUGCUGCAAAGGGAGGAACAGGAGGAGACAGGCAGCAGCUGGAUUUCUUUACAUGCCAAGUUGAAGAUGAGUUCGGUUUUUUAUCCUAGAGACAAGGACGCUUUGAAGAUGUUUGAGAAUGGGAGGGCCAUGAUCGGAUCUGGAUUGGAGGAAUAUCCAUUUGCCAGCUCUAUGGAGGAUAGACUAGGAAAGGAGGAGGCUGGAGCCCAAUUAAGAAUCUCAUCGUGGAAAUGAGUGAGUUCACACAUUCUAGACAGGUUUGGAGUGGUGCUGACUUCAUAUCUCAAAUUCCAUCUCUCCAGAGCCACGGCACAGGAUGGCACCUUUGUCCCGAAGCCCAGCUUUCUUCCCUUAACUCCUGUUGGGAAAUGGGACUUCCUCUGCUGGACCCCAACUGCUUUGUUUCUUCUGGUAUUUUAUUCCAGUCAAGUCAAACUGCUAUUAGAACAUGUCCUCCAUCUGAGACCUGUGGCGGUGUUGGCUCAGCCCACCACCAUGCCCUCAUUCUGGAUGCUGUGCUGUAGAUAGCAUUAAUGAGAAUGUUUUCUUUCUCGUGCCUGGUGGAGAUCAUUGAACCUGGAAGGACUGGUGUCUAGAUGAUUGGCGUUCUACAGAUGAGGAAACUGAAGCUGAAGGACUUCAGUGACUUAUCCAGGGUCACACAGUUGGGACAUGAUUAGAAGUCUGGUCUUCUUGACUCCAGCUCCAGCGCUGUAUCCACUGGCUGCUUCCAGAGAAAAGGACGAAUCCUAGUCCAAGAUCAAAGCUGUCUCUCCAAGCAGAGAAAGGUCAGGUGACUGCCAUCUGGUACUAGGGGCCCUGGUAGAGACUGGACUCUAGUCAUCAGGGGAGGUUGGGAUAAUAGACGACAGAUCAAUCAGUCAGUCAACAAGCAGUACCAAGUGGUGGGCACUGUGCUAAGAAUGCAAAUGCAAGCAUGGCUCAGAGUACAUUUGCAUUAGAUUUUUUUCAUCGAUGGAGAUUGUGAAAGUUUGAGAGAUGGGGAAGUCUAGCAUCCCGGCUUCUGGCUGCAAGAUAGAAGAUGCAUGGCUCCAGACCUUGUUCAGAUGGGCAAACUGAGGAACAAGGAAAGCUGAAGAUGAAGACAAGAUCCAGAAGGAGGUGGUGACUCAGCCCAGGGUGGUGUGUAAACUCAGGGCAUCUCCUACCCGAAAUGAUGAGUGCUUCUGGUCAACUCAAGAAACAUACAACAGAAGGUCAAGAGAAGGGUAUCUGUGUGGGUCAAGGGCUGUGGUGACAGAAGGGGCUGCUCCAUGAGGACAAAAUGAUGACAUCCAGAUCUAGCGUCUCCACUGCAGAGCUGCCAUUCCACAUCUCCAGCUGUCGGAUGGCCAGUGGGGAUCUGACUCAGCACAUCUAAAAUGGAACCCAUCAUCUUCCUCCCAAUGCACACUUCCUCCAAAAACUCCAUUCUUGGUAUCUUACUACCAACCUUCCAGUCAGCCGGUUCAUGACCUUGGAGCCAUUCUCAGGAUUCCCUCUCCUUCACCCCGUAUUCAAACCUCGCUGUUCCUAUCUCCACAAUAUCUCUCCUACCAACUGGACCAAACUGGCCUCUAACCUAUGGGUGGCCAGAGCUGAACAGAGCAGGCUAGAGACAGGAGAGUCAGGAAUCAAACAGAAGUUUAAUUUUGAAGUGAGGGAAUGGCUUUGCAGGUAAGGACACAUGUGCUGGGAUCUUGCCCCCAAAAGCUACAAAAUUGUGCAUACCCUUUGAUCCAUCAAUACCACUUCUAGGUCUCUAUCUAGGUCUGUAUCUAGAUCAUAAAAAGAGAAGAGGACCCACGUGUACAAAAAAAUUUAUAGCAGCUCUUUUUGUGGUGGCCAAGAAUUGGAAACU